CCUCAAAUCAGGUAGGACUACCCGCUGAACUUA
rnacentral:rRNA from 1 species